UACGUAGGGUGCGAGCGUUGUCCGGAAUUAUUGGGCGUAAAGGGCUCGUAGGCGGUUUGUCGCGUCGGGAGUGAAAUCCACUGGCUUAACUGGUGGCUUGCUUUCGAUACGGGCAGACUGGAGGUAUGCAGGGGAGAACGGAAUUCCUGGUGUAGCGGUGGAAUGCGCAGAUAUCAGGAGGAACACCAAUGGCGAAGGCAGAUCUCUGGGCCGUAACUGACGCUGAGGAGCGAAAGCAUGGGGAGCGAACAGG
rnacentral:rRNA from 1 species